AGGCAUUAUUAAGAAAGAUAAGAGCUAAGACCUUACCUUAUAAUUCAACCUUGGUAGUUUAUUUUUUCUCUUGAGUUCUUCAUAUUUUAUGACCUACUUCGUUUGCCCGUGAACUCCAAAUGGUUUCCAGAUGCAUCUGGACUUUAUCAGAUAUCUGGGCAACAAAGUAAAGGCAUGAAGACUAUAUGUGAAUCUAACCAAGAUUAGUGUUUUGAAAAACAAAUGGAAGGAAACAACAAGCAUGCAAGAGAAAUGACGGUCUUUCUAAAGGGAAAGUUAGUUUCAAAAGAUGUAGUAGAUUGAACUAUUGCUUCUUCCUGUUCACUCUGCUUUCUUGUAAAAGAAUUAUAUACAGUUGCACCAUGCACGGGAUUUGUAGUGUCUCCCAUUGGAGAAGUAUGUAUCCUCACCCAGAUGACAUCAAGCUUGUUUGUGUGACUUGCUUUGGCCAAUGGCAUGUAAGUGAAUGUGGCAUGUAUCACAUCUAAGCCAAAGCAUUGAGAGUCGUGUUUUGCCAGCCAUAUCAUUUGCUUUUCCACCCUUUGGGAAACAGUUGAGUUUCUACUCACACUGCUUCUGAUCCUUUAAGCCAGAAGAUCAAAGCUAUCUUCAUCCAACGUGGAGUAGCUGAUAAGGCAAGCUACAGUUGGCCCAGCACUGUUUGGGGUAAUAAAGGUGAACCUCCUGAUUUGCUUUGGGGCUAUUGUUAUUUCAACUUUGUUUCCAC
rnacentral:lncRNA from 1 species